CAGUAGCCGCGGUAAUACGAAGGGUGCAAGCGUUACUCGGAAUUACUGGGCGUAAAGCGUGCGUAGGUGGUGGUUUAAGUCCGUUGUGAAAGCCCUGGGCUCAACCUGGGAAUUGCAGUGGAUACUGGGUCACUAGAGUGUGGUAGAGGAUAGUGGAAUUUCCGGUGUAGCAGUGAAAUGCGUAGAGAUCGGAAGGAACAUCUGUGGCGAAGGCGACUAUCUGGGCCAACACUGACACUGAGGCACGAAAGCGUGGGGAGCAAACAGGAUUAGAUACCCCUGUAGUACCUGUCUCUUAUAC
rnacentral:rRNA from 1 species